rnacentral:rRNA from 1 species
UAGGGAAUCUUCCACAAUGGGCGCAAGCCUGAUGGAGCAACACCGCGUGAGUGAAGAAGGGUUUCGGCUCGUAAAGCUCUGUUGUUGGAGAAGAACGUGCGUGAGAGUAACUGUUCACGCAGUGACGGUAUCCAACCAGAAAGUCACGGCUAACUACGUGCCAGCAGCCGCGGUAAUACGUAGGUGGCAAGCGUUAUCCGGAUUUAUUGGGCGUAAAGCGAGCGCAGGCGGUUGCUUAGGUCUGAUGUGAAAGCCUUCGGCUUAACCGAAGAAGGGCAUCGGAAACCGGGCGACUUGAGUGCAGAAGAGGACAGUGGAACUCCAUGUGUAGCGGUGGAAUGCGUAGAUAUAUGGAAGAACACCAGUGGCGAAGGCGGCUGUCUGGUCUGCAACUGACGCUGAGGCUCGAAAGCAUGGGUAGCGAACAGGAUUAGGUACCCUGGUAGUCCAUGCUGUAAACGAUGAGUGCUAGGUGUUGGAGGGUUUCCGCCCUUCAGUGCCGGAGCUAACGCAUUAAGCACUCCGCCUGGGGAGUACGACCGCAAGGUUG